UGGGCGUAAAGGGUACGUAGGCGGCCUUUCAAGUCUUAAUCAAAGAAGCUAAGCCUAACUUAGAAAUUGAUUAUGAUACUAAUAGGCUCGAGGUCAAUAUAGGUUAGUUAUAUUCUUGAAGUAAAAGUAAAAUCUUUAGAUAUCGAGAGGAUAACCGAGUGGUUAAUGCGACUUUCUGGAUUGAUGCUGACGCUGAGGUACGAAGGCAUGGGUAUCAAACGGGAUUAGAGACCCCGGUAGUCCAUGCAGUAAAUCAAGAAUGCUAUGAGAUUGUAUCCAAUUUAAAAGGGUGCUGAUCUAUGAGCUAACGCGAAAGCAUUCCGCCUGGGUACUACAGUCGCAAGGUUGAAACUCAAAGGAAUUGACGGAAGUUUGAACAAGCGGUGGAGCAUCUGGUUCAAUGCGAUAUAACGCGCAAAACCUUACCAGUCUUUGAAUAUUUUUUGUAUCUUUUAUAGAGAAAGGUGUAUAAAAUUUCUAUGAUUUUCAAAUUUUAUAUGGAAAU
rnacentral:rRNA from 1 species